GGGGUACGUCGAGCGGGCCUGUAAUAAACCGGGGAAAAAAUUAACCGCCCUGACCUUCCAGUCAGAAGUCUCUCUUCGCCGGUGGCCUUGGGAGACUUCUGGCUGGCGGGGGAGAGCGGUAUUUUCCACUUGCAAUCCCACCGCAGGAGGCUGGAACAGGCUUUAAAAGGAUCUCAUCCCAUAAACUGCACUUCUGAGCUGUCAGUAAUGAGUCUUUGGGGUACUUCCGUGUGGUCAGAGUUACUGCUUACAGGGUUAACACUUUGUAACUUGGGGAUGCAAGGCCAGACGCCACGCUGAGAAAACAAGCCCUGUAGCUCUCUGAAGACCAAACUCCUGCAUCAGCACCACUGAAAUGUUUUAUCACGGCAAGAUCUCGGGUUCUUACUACCCUUCUUGAAUAUCCACGAUCUCCAUAGUUUUGUUUCCCUACCUAUGGAAAUAUGUAAUAAUUUGUCACAGCUGCAUUAAAUCAGAGGAGAAGC